rnacentral:rRNA from 1 species
UCCCUACGGGGUGCACCAGGCGCGCAAACUUUACAAUGCGAGCAAUCGUGAUAAGGAAACCCUGAGUGCCUGUCGAUGCAGGCUGUUCAUAUAUCUAAAUCAUAUGUGAAGAAAGGGCAGGGCAAGACCGGUGCCAGCAGCCGCGGUAAUACA